GACGGGAGGUUGAAGAAACUUGAUUUAGAGGGACGCACCAAGGGUCUUAUUUUGGAACCCAUUAGUGUUCUAAUGCAAAGAGUGGAACAAGAUGCUUUCACAAAGGCUUUGCAAGCAAGUUCUGAAUUGCAGAAUGAUGCAAUCCUCCCUGAAACACAAGUGGUCAAUGAACAGCUUUGGGUGGAUAAAUAUGCUCCAAGUUCAUUUACAGAGCUUCUCAGUG